UAGCAUACAGCUGUGUUUCCAUCAGCUCCUCCUGCGUCUAUUUCCUUCUCGGCUGGAGCCAGAAAUAGAACAUUUGGCGAUGAGGAAUUUAAAUCCCACCAGUGUCCAGUGCUCCCAUUGCCUGACCAAGAAGAUGAAAAAGAGCAGCUUGUCCUCAUGGAACCUUUAACAGUAUGCAAGAAAGCUUCCCCAAGGCCUGAAGUACCAAGAGGAAGCGGCUCAAUAUAAAUCCAUCGUUGGAGGUCCUCACUCACAAUCAAUCAGUACAAAAUUGCACGCAGGUACUGAGUAGAACUCUUCAGUUUCCCCUCUUCUUAAACAAAAUCCAGUAUAGAAACUGACAUCUAUGUCCAUAUGGCGGAACCCUGUCAGCUGCACAAUCCAGAUGCCCAGCUGUUGGACUGUAGUUCCAUCACUAGCUCUUCUGACAGACAUGCA